UGCGUAGGCGGUCGGAUAAGUUUGAUGUGAAAUCUCCGGGCUUAACCCGGAAACUGCAUUGAAUACUAUUCGGCUUGAGGUCUGGAGGGGGGACUGGAAUUCUCGGUGUAGCAGUGAAAUGCGUAGAUAUCGAGAGGAACACCAGUGGCGAAGGCGAGUCCCUGGACAGGUCCUGACGCUGAGGCACGAAAGCUAGGGGAGCAAACA
rnacentral:rRNA from 1 species